UACGUAGGGUGCGAGCGUUGUCCGGAAUUAUUGGGCGUAAAGAGCUCGUAGGCGGUCUGUCGCGUCUGCUGUGAAACUCAGGGCUUAACCCUGAGCUUGCAGUGGGUACGGGCAGACUAGAGUGCGGUAGGGGAGACUGGAAUUCCUGGUGUAGCGGUGAAAUGCGUAGAUAUCUGGAGGAACACCGGUGGCGAAGGCGGCGUUCUGGACUGCAACUGACACUGAGAAACGAAAGCCAGGGUAGCAAACGGG
rnacentral:rRNA from 1 species